rnacentral:rRNA from 1 species
UACGUAGGGGGCAAGCGUUGUCCGGAUUUAUUGGGCGUAAAGAGCGUGUAGGCGGCCAGAUAGGUCCGUUGUGAAAACUCGAGGCUCAACCUCGAGACGCCGAUGGAAACCAUUUGGCUAGAGUCCGGAAGAGGAGAGUGGAAUUCCUGGUGUAGCGGUGAAAUGCGCAGAUAUCAGGAAGAACACCCGUGGCUAAGGCGGCUCUCUAGUACGGUACUGACGCUGAGACGCGAAAGCGUGGGUAGCAAACAGG